rnacentral:rRNA from 1 species
UACGUAGGCAGCAAGCGUUGUUCGGAGUUACUGGGCGUACAGGGUGCGUAGGUGGCGCGCUAAGUCAGGUGUGAAAUUUCGGAGCUUAACUCCGAAACUGCAUUUGAUACUGGCGUGCUUGAGGACUGGAGAGGAGACUGGAAUUCAUGGUGUAGCAGUGAAAUGCGUAGAGAUCAUGAGGAAGACCAGUGGCGAAGGCGGGUCUCUGGACAGUUCCUGACACUGAGGCACGAAGGCCAGGGGAGCAAACGGG